rnacentral:rRNA from 1 species
UACGUAGGCAGCGAGCGUUGUUCGGAGUUACUGGGCGUAAAGAGUGCGUAGGCGGUUUUCUAAGUUUGGUGUGAAAUCUCCCGGCUUAACUGGGAGGGUGCGCCGAAGACUGGAAGGCUUGAGUAUGGGAGAGGUAAGCGGAAUUCCUGGUGUAGCGGUGAAAUGCGUAGAUAUCAGGAGGAACACCUGCGGUGUAGACGGCUUACUGGACCAUAACUGACGCUGAGACACGAAAGCGUGGGGAGCAAACAGG